AGUGAACGCUGGCGGUAGGCCUAACACAUGCAAGUCGAACGGCAGCACAGUAAGAGCUUGCUCUUACGGGUGGCGAGUGGCGGACGGGUGAGGAAUACAUCGGAAUCUACUUUUUCGUGGGGGAUAACGUAGGGAAACUUACGCUAAUACCGCAUACGACCUACGGGUGAAAGCAGGGGAUCUUCGGACCUUGCGCGAUUGAAUGAGCCGAUGUCGGAUUAGCUAGUUGGCGGGGUAAAGGCCCACCAAGGCGACGAUCCGUAGCUGGUCUGAGAGGAUGAGCACCCACACAGGGACUGAGACACGGUCCACACUCCUACGGGAGGGAGCGGUGGGGGAUAUUGGACAAUGGGCGCAAACCUGAGCCAGCCAUACCGCGUGUGUGAAGAAGAGCUUCGGGUUUUGAAGAGCUUUUGUGUGGAAAGAAAAGCACCAGAGUAAAAUCCCGCGGUGCUGACGGGACCCAAAGAAAAAACACCCGCUAAAUUCUUG
rnacentral:rRNA from 1 species